rnacentral:lncRNA from 1 species
CUCAAGACUAGGGAAGGCUACAUAGUGAUUUUUCAGGAAGAGAUACACAAAUAUACACAAUUUCCCUGAGAUUAUUAUUUUAUCUGUGGUUUUAGUACCGCUGAAUCUUUUCUCUUUUCCUUGGGUGUCUUCUGUCCAUGCAAAACAAGCCUUUCACCCACAAGAUGGAAGGAUUACUUUAUUCUCAACCUAACAUGAGUGACGGCGAAGGGCAUGGACUCAGCUGCCUCAGACUACAUAUUUCAAUGUGGAUGUGGCUUUGUGGGCAUUUUAUAGUUUCAUAACAAAAUUAAGGCACUACCAAGGACCUUGGCUGGAAUCACGGACAGGACUUCCUGUUCUCUGCUUACUCUGGGGAGCCCAGCCCUUCAUCUUCUACCUGAGGAAUGUCACAUAAUCCUGGGGAAAUUACAUGAUCAACUUCCUGGGAUGCCUUUCCAUGCAAAUGAGAUAUCUCCAGAAUCUUAUGCUUCAGCCAAAGAAAUUUCAUCCUAAGAAGAACACCUUCCCAUUCUCCAACAUUCAUAUGUAAACUGAAACAAAUAUAGAUCUCCAUUAUAAUCAUUCAACCCAUGUGAGACGCCUGGAGGCUGGAAAUGUUCCUGAAGGCUUGGCAGUGGAAGAAUCAAGCCUGCAGAGGAAGGGGGACUGCAAUUUAGAGAGCUCCAUUUUGUGUGUGACACAUUGGAAAAGGGGAGAAUACACAUGCACCUUUGCCAGUCUGUGGGCCUGUUGCUAUGGGCUCAAAAUGCAUUGUGGUCUCAGGGAGGCAAUUAAGGUAGACAUCCAAACCCAAGUGCCAUAGCAGAACUUUACAAGUGCAGACCCAAAUUCAGGAGACAUCCAUCACCACUCAUGGCAACCUGCCUUCUGAGUUCAGAAGCAACUUCCAGAUCCUUCUUGAACGUUAACUCUUGGUAGCCAUACCAAUAGUGUAAAAGUAACUUGGCAUGUUCAAGACUUGUACUGCCCCUGACCACGUCUUGUACAAGUCUCUCAAGCUCCCUGUGAAAUUCUUGUAGGCUCGAUGUAUGACAAAUCUUUUCUCGGGAGACACAACACAUGGGUCUUACUACAGGUAGGAAACUCACAACACACCAAAGUAUGGAUUCCACCCAAAGUCUAACUUCAUGAACUAUGAGUCUUACUGAGGCGGCUCAGCUGGUCUCUUCUUCCAGGAGGAUGGUCUGGUUUCAGGUCUUCUUUGUGGCUUGGCUUCCCAGAGAGUCUUCUUUACUGCUCAGCUUUGCUUCCUUUGAGAGGGAUUGUCGCUUUUAUUGCUCACUCUGGCAAGGAGAGACCUAGUGAAUCUGGCCUGGAUUCCAGAAUUGGUGAAUUAGAACUGAGCACAAGCAGUCAAGCAAGAGAUGGGCAGACCUAUUACAUUAUGUAUUCUUGCCAUGCUGUGCUGUGCUGUCACAGGCCCAAAACAUCAGAGCCAAUGGCCAUGGGCAGAAACCUUUCUAACCAUGAGGGCACUGUCUCGGAAGCAAGGAGCAACAGAGUAUCUGUGAAUCAGACGUACAGGAUUGUUUCCAGUUCCUGGGCUUUUGCAUCACAUAUUUUCAGAGUGAAGAAAACAGAAAAUAAAUGGUUUUCAUUCUUUGGAAGCUACAUCCUGCCUUAGAAAGAACUGUGUCCAAACUUUUCUUGAAAACAUUUCAUCUGACAAACAUGUUGGAGUGCUCUCAGAUGGGAGUGGACCAUUCCUGUGUAGCAGUAUCAUGAGCUCUGCUUUGCCUACUAAGACCUUUCUGGGAACCGUGGGAGCUCUCUGCCCUCCAGCCAACGGGGAAGCAGCAGAAUGAAGAGGGCUAAUAGCGGCUGUCAACUGAGAGUGCUCAGGUAUGGUUUUGAGAGGCAGGAGCGAGAGGCAGGGUCCAGAUUUUCUUUGUCCUUGCUCUGAAAGGUCCAUAUGGUGGCUAUGCUGAGUGAAGGGCAGUAAACAGACAUGGUUGCUGUGGCUCUUCCCCUCCUCAGGAGGCAACAAAGAUUACAAGGUGAGAAGGUAGCACAAAGGCAAGGGAAGUUUUGAAAGAGAGAAAUGAACAGGUCAUAAUCUGGGGAACAGCAGAACAACAGGUAUACAUUUUGUGGUGAAAGGACACGCUGUGAUUCCUGACUGCUUCAUGACCACAUUGAGCACACUGAUUCACGCCAUUGGAGUUUGUUUAAAUUGAUGCUGACAGAUGACAUCUCUUAUUGAAUUUCUCAGAAUUUAUGUCUGUUGUGAGGUAUGACGGUGAUGCAUAUGAAUGGAAGGCGCAAUCAAGCAUAUUACAUUUGUAAGACAUCACUAAACCAUCGGAUUAGCCGUGAUUCUGUAUAGGAAGGGUCUCCCUGGGAUGGUGGUCCUGUGUGUUAAUAGGGCUCUAACUGGCUGCAGAUGGCUCACUACUGCUAAGCUGAAGGAGAGGCAUGAUGGCGGACAGAGACUCCCAACAGGAAACAGGUUCACUGCAUUCCACCAGCAUAUUAGAUGUCCUCUUUGAAUUCAACUGUUACAAUUUUCUCUAAAUUAAACAAAUUUUACUCUUAAGGAAG